rnacentral:rRNA from 1 species
CACGUAGGGGGCAAGCGUUGUCCGGAUUUAUUGGGCGUAAAGAGCUCGUAGGUGGUUCGGUAAGUCGGGUGUUAAACCCCCAGGCUCAACCUCGGAACUGCCUUUGAUACUGCAAAUCUCGAGUCCGGAAGAGGUGAGUGGAAUUCCUAGUGUAGAGGUGAAAUUCGUAGAUAUUGGGAAGAACACCGGUGGCGAAGGCGGCUCUCUGGACCGUAACUGACGCUGAGGCGCGAAAGCGUGGGGAGCAAACAGG